GUGAAACCGGUGAGGUGGAAACGGAUAGAGUCGGCGUAUCUUGCAAGUAUUCAUUUACAUUUUUGUCGUAUUGUAAUCUCUGAGCUCCAGAUUGGGACAGUUUUUACUUUAUUAUAAAAUUGAGAUGCAUUUGCUUGUUUGGUGCGUAGGGAUGUUUGAGAUAGAUUUGUGACCGCYGUUUUGAGGCCAGCUUGCUGGUACCCAAACGGUGUUAGCAUUUUUUAUCUUGGAUAUUUGAGUAUGGCUUACGGGCGUUWWUUGGUUCGAUCUGAGUGUAAGUUACGGUCGCAUGCGACACGUGCUUUUCAAUUAGUUCGGUCCAGUUAAUGCUCUCAUACUCUUUCCCUAUGUAAAAGCCGGUCAUCUAUCCGACCCGUCUUGAAACACGGACCAAGGAGUUUAUCGUGUGCGCAAGUUUUUGGGUGUUUAAAACCUAAAAGCGCAAUGAAAGUAAAUGUUCUCUUUCGAGACUGAUGUGCGAUAUUUUUUUUUCGAAAAAAUUGCAGCAUGGCCCCAUUCUAUCUGUUUACAGAAGGGUGGCGGAAGAGCGUACGCGGUGAGACCCGAAAGAUGGUGAACUAUUCCUGAGCAGGAUGAAGCCAGAGGAAACUCUGGUGGAAGUCCGAAGCGGUUCUGACGUGCAAAUCGAUCGUCUGACUUGGGUAUAGGGGCGAAAGACUAAUCGAACCAUC
rnacentral:rRNA from 1 species